AUAUUCUCGAAGCUUUUGGGUAUUGCAGUUAAAAAAAAACUUUUCUACAAAGAGAUAGAAAUAGAGAUAUAGAGAUAGAAACAAAUACUGUAUAUAUAAAUAGAGAGAGAAGAAGCCUUCCCUAUUUGACCACAACCGUUCGCGCAUAUAUUUUUCAGUCAAAUUUCUCUCAAUUCCGCCAUCUCCAUUCUCCCCUCUUUCCCCUCACUUUCUCUCUCUUCCCCCCUUUUUCUCCCUCUCUCUCCGAAUCAGAGCGCACACACACGCAGUGGGAGCUCCAGCGGCAGCUAUGCGAUUCUCCAAAGACGAGAAAAAGCUCAGCAAGGCAGCGGCGGCGCUCGCGAUUCCGAGAUGGAUCAGAACACUUUUUUUCCUCAUCACGAUGCUGCUAUCUCUUCUAAUCUUCUCCGCUCCGAUCCUCCUAAUCGUCGCCGACGCGCUCCUCCCCUCCGCCUUCCUCUCCGCCGCCAUCCCAAUCAACCUCCAGACGCUCUCCUCGCACCUCUCCAACUACGACUUCCGCUACUCUCUAAUCGACAUCCCCCUCGUCUCAAUUGUCCGCUCCGCCAUCAUCCUAUGUGUUUACAGCUUCUGCGACGGGCCGGGGCUGUCGAGGGGGCCGUACCUGGCGAUCGCGACGGUGUGCUCGGCGGCGUCGCUGGUGUACGUGUCGCUGAAGGCGUCGUACGUGUUCGUGAUCGGCGGGAGGGGCGCGGGAGCGAUGGAGAUGGCGCUGUUCGUGUCGUCGUGGGUGCUGGCGAUUGGGCACGUCGUGGUGGCCUACAGGACUAGCUGUAGAGAGAGAAGAAAGCUUCUCGUUUACAAGAUCGACAUUGAGGCUGUAAGUCAAUUCUCUCACCUAAACAUCUCCUCUCUCUAGGGACUUCCUCGUCAUUUCACUAUUUCCAUUUAUUUAUUUUGUUUUUUGCCUCUAAAUAUCAGAACUUUCUAGAAAUUCUAAUUUUACUAUCAAGUGCAAAUAACUAAGAUUAGAUGGAGUAUUGAUUAGUGUUGAUAUAACUUGCUGAUAAUCAACAUUGAAUUUCACUUCACAUUAGGAAGCCAGCCAUGUAAGCAUUAAUAUUCAUAUAAAUCUUAGUCCAUUUAACCAAAUAAAAGGUUUAGAAUCCAAAAUUGGGUGAAACUGGUAGUAAUUUAGAAUAAAAUAAAGCUUAUUUUAGGAUAAUAUCCAAUUAAAUUACAAAGUUUAGCCAAAAAUAGAAUUAUAAAAAUUUCAAUUUUGUUCAAUUAUUUUGUGUUUCAGUAGAUGAUGAGACAAUUAAGAAAAAAAUUGAAACUUUAUGAUUUAAAAUCGAGAUUGUUGUUCUAAAACUCAUGUGCAAAAUCUAAACCGGCCAAAAAAAUUCGGGUAUUUUGACUUUUGAGAAUGUGAGAGUAGUUAUUGGGGGGCCCCACUUUAGUUGAGAAUGGGAAAGCAAGAAACAGAAAAGGUAAAAAAAAUACGCAUUUUGAUGAGCAUUCUAUAGAGGACCCCUACUGCAGUUGAGAUAUGAAAUAUGAAUGCGCCAUUAAACAACUUAUCUAUUUGUCACACGGAACCUAAAAAGGGUUAUAUUUUUUCAUUGAUGAUGUAUGUCUGUUGGGAAAUAUAAAUGGAGAAAUCUUGUCCUUUAUUUGCAGCUAUUUCCACUAUAUUUCUGAGUGGUAUGUUGCUUACUAGGCUUAGAAAUGCUACUUUGAACUUUCCCUGUGGCAUCUAAUCUUUUCAUAGAAAUUUCAUCAAGUGAAAGGGUUUCAGCUUGCAAGAAUGGGUUUCCAUAUCACAAAAUACUGCAAGAAGCAAGAAAAAAGUGAAGAAAACUAAUUAGUCUAUUCGUUUUGCGAUGCUUCAGGUUUCUCCGAAGGAGAACCGCGAAAGCUGUAGAGUAGGAGAGUGUAUGUGUAUAUACACGACAUUUUUGUAUAGCGUAUACGCGUGCGUGUGUAGCGUGUGGCGUAUACGUGUGAAUGUAAAGUGUGGUGAUUGGGGUCGUGAGUGGGCAGAGGGAGUGUUGUUCACAUGUAAAUAUACAGAAAUUAUGGUGUUUCUCAGAACUGAUGCAGGUGUUUUCUCAUGUAAUUGAUUGUGAGAUUGUGCUUGCUGCGAGUUCAUUUAUUUAAGAAUGUGAAAUUUAUUUACAAGGAAA